UUCAAGUAUUUUUAAGACCCAAUAGAAAUUUAUGGGACUCGAUGUAGAUCAGAAUUCUGAGACUGAUCAGCAGUCAGAUAUGUGAGAAAGAAAGUGUCUUGCAGUGAGUGAACGUCCUCUUCAGCACAGCUGAUUUGUGUUUGAACUUUGGGUCACUUCAUGUCACAUCGUAAAUACUCAGUAAUUUUUAAUAAGACUAUUGUGCACGUUGAUUAGGGCUUAGGAGGAUUUUAAGGCAAAACUCACAACUGAUGCAAACAAAAAUAUAUGGAGGAGUCCAAUGUAAAUGAUGCCAUGUUUGAUACUACCAAGGUUUUUUUAGUAAGAAAUAUUAUGCUAUAUAACAGGUAAUUUUACAUGCAAUAUAAAUUAAUUUUUGCUUUCUUGCUUAUUUUUAGGAAUUUCCAAAAUUGCAGAGAGCAAAACUCCAUUGGAGAAAGGGGUUAUACUGAUGAAUGAAGCAUGCAAAGCCACACAGGAAAAGAGUUAUUAUAUGGCUAUAGAUCUCCUCAAGGAAGCCGGAAAGUGCUUGAAGGAUGCACGGAAAGGUAUGUUGAGACAAAUUUGCAGUUUAUUCUGUGCCACUAAAAUCUAUCUGAAUAAAGAAGUGGUCACAUCCCUUCCCUACUCUAAACUUAUAAAUCUCCUGUUUGGAGUACUCUAGUUAAUCCCCUUGAAUAUCUGGUAACGCUCACAUUUAAAAGUUAUUCGGUACAAGCCAUGUUUGCUUUUAUUUGCACUUUAUUUUUGUUAUUAUUUCCAGGAGAAUUCAGAUUUAAAAUAGGCAACUACAACUUCCAUGUAUCUUUCUAUGCACACAUCUCAUUUGCCACUACAUAAGCACUGCCUGCACUUGACGAUUCAUAAAACAGACCAGUGACCAUUUCUGAUUCGAUUCCAGGCAAUUCAUGCCUUGCGCAGACAAGACGCUUCACAACUUCCUGGGUUCUCUGUUGUUACUGACCUUCUGUUAGUGGUUGUAGGAUCGUAAGUUUUAACAUCUGGUUUUCAACAUUUUAGCUUCGAUAACUUUGCUUCCAGGUGAACAGGAAAGUAAUAAGUACAAAUGCAAUACUUGUUUGUAGUGCAAAUAGCAAAAAACUAAUGAAUGCUGCAUAGGCCGCAUUUCUUAGCUGGCUUUUUUUUACUAUGUACUUUUAUUCCCCACAUGAUUAAAUGCGCAGGUGAGGUGCAUUUUUCUCUGCUUUCGAGUUUUUAUUUUUGCAUAUAGCAUUUCACUUUAAGAUAUAUGAGCUGCCAACCAGGAAAUAUUAUCAGAACUUUUUGUUUUCAGA